rnacentral:rRNA from 1 species
UACGUAGGGUCCGAGCGUUGUCCGGAAUUAUUGGGCGUAAAGGGCUCGUAGGCGGUUUGUCGCGUCGGGAGUGAAAACACGGGGCUUAACCCCGUGCCUGCUUCCGAUACGGGCAGACUAGAGGUAUGCAGGGGAGAACGGAAUUCCUGGUGUAGCGGUGAAAUGCGCAGAUAUCAGGAGGAACACCGGUGGCGAAAGCAGCUUUCUGGGACGGUACUGACGCUGAGACGCGAAAGCGUGGGGAGCGAACAGG